rnacentral:lncRNA from 1 species
ACACGUGUUUAUUAAAAAAAAAAAAGGCGAACACGAGCGUUAGAAAACAUGUACAUCACCUUAUGCAAAACCGUCUAUGCAAGAAACUUUAUCCAUGGCACAUUUGUUGUGAAAAAGGCACAAAACUCUAACUUAUAAUAUCUCCACUUUGAAACUACAUAUCCAAAACAAAAUAAUACAUCGAAGUCCUUUGGGGCUCCACGUCUUCUACCUCUAGAAUGUGGUGUCGGCACACAAGAUCCUUCCUUCUAGGUUGUGGGAAGUCACUAAGACCUCCUUUUAUUUGAAGGAAUUUUGUACUUCCUGCGUUACGAUUUAAAAGAUACGGUAAAUUUACGUGUGUUUCUAUAAUAGAUAAAGUUUAAGGCAUCAACACAAUUAUUUUUAGUAAUUAGUACUGAACAUGUAUGCAUGCGCUGUGUUAAUCGUGCCUCUUUUGGGAGCAUCGUUUCUGGAACAGCGCUGGAUGACAGAGGAAGGCGGUGGAGCGGCUUCGUCUUGAUCGGAGCUUCGGUGGAGAUGUCAAGUCAUGCCUGGUCGACACGUGCUACGCUAUGUUAUGCCUGCUUGGCAGGUGCUAUGCACGACAGAUCUUUCGGAGCCUUCAUGUCAGGAUGGACGAGCGCAGGACGGUGGCGCCGACGGAUGGACAGACUGGCAAGGGUGAUACGGAUCUCUCUUCAGAAGAUGGGACAGUGGUUCGAUGAUGAUGACGGCUUCUAAAACGUGUGCAAGUGGUAUACGAUUUAGGUUUGAUGCACCGUUUGUUGUUCCGAUACGUUAUAGGGAUGGAUCGGUGAUGACAACGGUUUUUGAUAUGGAGAAUGAGAGCAUUCAACAGUAUCAUGUUUGUAGGUGUGAGUGGUGGCUUCGAGUGGCUUGAUGUAUGAUCUCGUCAGACAUUUGUGGAAUAAUUAAUAAAAAUGGUUGUAUGCAUCAAUUGAUGCAGAGGCCGGGGGUUGAACAUCCUUUUCUAAAAAAAUGCGUCGUGUUAAUUUCUCAGCUCAUUAGGCACAUGAGUAUUGUUGAUGCUAUUUUUCAACACAUCUCACAGCCAAUAGAUAACUACCUAGGUUGCAUAGAUUUUUCAAAUACGUCUUCUAAACCGUGACGGAGUAGGGGUUUCAUGGGAUAAGAUUCUUAUAGGAAAAUUUUCUUUAAAGUCCUUUAGUUUGUACGAAUAUAAUCUUAUUGCUAUGAAGGGAUUCUUUUUAUCAUUCACAUUUCAUAGUAAAUUAAAGAUUAGCCUAGCCUCAAUGAAAAAAAAAAUCUAUGAUGUGAAUCAAAAGGCAUUUUCUUUCCUAAUCCUAUAGAUAGGAUUUGAGAUACAAUCAUCGGCCGAGAGGCCAGUUGAGUCCGCCACUACAUCAAGUGCCUUAAUAUGGACCAGCAGGACCUCUUUACGUGCUCUAAUGUUCGUCGAGGUUGGCCUCCCACCCCAGCAUGAGCUGGCGGGUGAACUUAGUGCAGUGGUGCCAGAUCUCAGUAACAGAGUACGCCCUAGACGGGGAUGUUGCGGCUUCUACCCAGCGGUCCUGCAUGAUCUCAAAUAACCCUGGUUGUAGCAACCAUGCAGGCUCAAAGUAGAACCGCCUCCUCCUAGGAGGAGCGUCGUCCCGAUGAGAAAAGCAAAGAACGUUGUUAGACUCUAUAUGCGUGACCGUGCGAAGCGAGCAGAACGAAAACAUGACCUUCCAUUGAACCGACAAUGGAACCCUAUCCAACACACUUUGGAUAGGGUGUGCUUGCUUUUUAGUCCACGUGAAUCUAGCCCCAACACAGGCUAGCUCCCGUAAAACCAGGCCGGCAAUGCAAUCGUUAAACAUCCGCAUAUGUGCGUUUACUCUCAUGCAACAAAAACUAAAAUAUAAGGUGUAGAGUACAUACCAGUUUGUUGAAGACAUGGCGCUAGCCACUGGUGUGCUCGAGAAGACGGCGUCUACUACUGUGAUGAUCAUGAGUAUGAUUGUGAUCAUUCAUUACGAUAUAUUAUUGUUAUGGUUUUAUUUUAUUUAUAUGCGGUGAUUCUAAUUAGUGAUCUAAUUGGACGUUUGAGCCUCCCGAAUAAUCCAAAUAAAUCGGAUAUCCUAUUUGAUAAUCUUGGAUAAUUCAAAAAGAAAUAUCGAAUAAUCUACAUCCACUGUAUAUUACCAAUACCAUACGCACUACCAUAUCAGUUGGAUAUCGGGUCGACCAAAAAUCCAUAUAUGCAUCCAUAUCUGGUGGAUUUAUG